rnacentral:rRNA from 1 species
UACGUAGGGGGCAAGCGUUGUCCGGAUUUACUGGGCGUAAAGAGCGUGUAGGCGGCCAAGCAGGUCCGUUGUGAAAACUGGAGGCUUAACCUCCAGACGUCGACGGAAACCGCGUGGCUAGAGUCCGGAAGAGGAGAGUGGAAUUCCUGGUGUAGCGGUGAAAUGCGCAGAUAUCAGGAAGAACACCAAUGGCAAAGGCGACAUCCUGGACCGGUAUUGACGCUGAGGCGCGAAAGCCAGGGGAGCAAACGGG